UCGCUUAUAGGUCUUGUAGAUUCCUCCAUGGCCACAGAUGGGAGUGGAGUGAUAGUACUGGAGAAGGGUGGAUCUGAGACUGCUGGGAAUGUAGAUUCUGUAAUGCAGUUGGUUAUUUGUCAGGUAUGCUUUGUGAUAUAAUUUGUCCUCAAUUAUUUCAUACUGGUCAAUCAGACUGGCACAAUUAUCUGCAACCGCUUGCAAUAAUUUUGUAACUUCGGGGUCUUUGUGCUGUUCGUCCCACAGGACAACAUCUGAUACAGGCAGUGCUGGGUCUUUUCCGCUGGUGUACAAGUUACAUCCUGGGGACCCAACGAAUGAGGCGGCUGGUGGUUUUCGUGGAGUUCAUGACCCAUUGCAGUGCAGCAUGUAUAAUUUAGUUCGGCCCCAGUUAAGGUUCGGCUUGCAUAGGCUAUAACCUCCUCUCUGCCUACCUCCCUCCGUUGUGCUAAUAUGGCACCCAGGCCGAUGUCGCUGGCAUCGGUGUAAACAAUGAAUGGCCGCUGAAGAUCGGGAUGGCCCAGAAUGGGAGGUGAGGUGAGACAAGACU
ensembl:lncRNA